AGAGUUGAUGGAGUUGUGAAAUUCUUAAAGUCUUUUUAUGUCGGAGCUACAUAAUGGAUCGCGUAUGAGGUUUGAUAUUCAGAGCUCGGAAUUCGAAGUGGAGCAAGAUCAAGGUUUCAUAGUGGCUUAAGGAUUAAGCUUGUAUUUUAGAUAGUUGGUUUUUAGUAUUUCGUUGUAUAAUAUUUGGGAAUUUUUGUUCAAUUAUUGGUGUAUUUAAGGUUGUUUUUCCGCUGCAGUUUUAUUAAUUAAGAGUUAAUUGUUGUU